UCUUUCCUUGUCAUGGGGUGAGUGAGCUGCUCAAUGAACGCAUAGUGAGAGUAGCCCUGCUGACACCAUAACAACACAUGAGCACCACCUGGGUUUCUACCUGGGCCAUGGUGCAAUUUUUGGAACA